ACCGUACCUGUGCAGCUGUUUUG
rnacentral:piRNA from 1 species